GACUUCCUGGUGCCUGCCACAGGCUAUGUUCUUACACUGAACCGAAAGAGGAGGCAGAGUAAACUUACCCCACAGAGUGUACCUACACUACAGCCCAGGCCCUGUGCAGAUUCUACCAUUUCAUAUCCAAGGAAAUAUUU
rnacentral:snoRNA from 1 species